AUUCAGAAGUCCAACAGGUAGCGUGGAACCUAAAUUAACAGGCAACCUGUGGCCAGCAGGCUGCCAUUAUUUAUAGUGGAGAGUGAAGGUCAUGUUACGUGGCCAGCGUCACAUGACCGACAGACCAACCAGUCGAGCACUGAGUGAUCA